rnacentral:misc_RNA from 1 species
AACUCAAUUAAUAAUUGCAAAAUUUAUUCAUCACAAAGCGUCUUGUCGUAGGAAUAUAUACGUAUUUAGUAUUCGACAAUACCGAAAUAAGUUAAACGCUAUUAACCAUAAGCGAAAACCUUAUGUGUUUUCAGAAAUUUUACUGAAUUCGCGCGGGAAUCUUCGACUAGACGUAUCGUUCGAAGUCCACAUCUUGACGGUCGUCAGGCACCAUGCAUCUUCCCCUUGUCAAGCAUCGCCGAAACCGUCGUGUUUGAAACACUUUUACAUGAGCUACUUUUUUACACUUUACACUAAUGACACACUAUUGCUAAAACCACGACGCCGCGGUAGCAACGACGGUCGCUAACAACCGGACACUAUCAGGAAACCAGAAGACUCGAGGAAUCAUU